rnacentral:rRNA from 1 species
UACGAAGGGGGCUAGCGUUGCUCGGAAUUACUGGGCGUAAAGCGCACGUAGGCGGAUCGAUCAGUCAGGGGUGAAAUCCCAGGGCUCAACCCUGGAACUGCCUUUGAUACUGUCGAUCUGGAGUAUGGAAGAGGUGAGUGGAAUUCCGAGUGUAGAGGUGAAAUUCGUAGAUAUUCGGAGGAACACCAGUGGCGAAGGCGGCUCACUGGUCCAUUACUGACGCUGAGGUGCGAAAGCGUGGGGAGCGAACAGG